rnacentral:rRNA from 1 species
CGUAGGUGGCGAGCGUUGUCCGGAAUUAUUGGGCGUAAAGCGCGCGUAGGUGGGAUAUUAAGUCUAUUCUAAAAGUGCGGGGCUCAACCCCGUAAUGGGAUGGAAACUAAUAUUCUUGAGUACCGGAGAGGAAAGCGGAAUUCCCAGUGUAGCGGUGAAAUGCGUAGAUAUUGGGAGGAACACCAGUGGCGAAGGCGGCUUUCUGGACGGUGUCUGACACUGAGGCGCGAAAGCCAGGGGAGCGAACGGGAUUAGAUACCCCGGUAGUCCUGGCCGUAAACGAUGGGUACUAGGUGUAGGGGGUAUCGACCCCUCCUGUGCCGGAGUUAACGCAAUAAGUACCCCGCCUGGGGAGUACGGCCGCAAGGUUG